UGAACGCUGGCGGCGUGCCUAAUACAUGCAAGUCGAGCGAACAGAUAAGGAGCUUGCUCCUUUGACGUUAGCGGCGGACGGGUGAGUAACACGUGGAUAACCUACCUAUAAGACUGGGAUAACUUCGGGAAACCGGAGCUAAUACCGGAUAACAUAUUGAACCGCAUGGUUCAAUAGUGAAAGGCGGCUUUGCUGUCACUUAUAGAUGGAUCCGCGCCGUAUUAGCUAGUUGGUAAGGUAACGGCUUACCAAGGCAACGAUACGUAGCCGACCUGAGAGGGUGAUCGGCCACACUGGAACUGAGACACGGUCCAGACUCCUACGGGAGGCAGCAGUAGGGAAUCUUCCGCAAUGGGCGAAAGCCUGACGGAGCAACGCCGCGUGAGUGAUGAAGGUCUUCGGAUCGUAAAACUCUGUUAUCAGGGAAGAACAAAUGUGUAAGUAACUGUGCACAUCUUGACGGUACCUGAUCAGAAAGCCACGGCUAACUACGUGCCAGCAGCCGCGGUAAUACGUAGGUGGCAAGCGUUAUCCGGAAUUAUUGGGCGUAAAGCGCGCGUAGGCGGUUUUUUAGUCUGAUGUGAAAGCCCACGGCUCAACCGUGGAGGGUCAUUGGAAACUGGAAAACUUGAGUGCAGAAGAGGAAAGUGGAAUUCCAUGUGUAGCGGUGAAAUGCGCAGAGAUAUGGAGGAACACCAGUGGCGAAGGCGACUUUCUGGUCUGUAACUGACGCUGAUGUGCGAAAGCGUGGGGAUCAAACAGGAUUAGAUACCCUGGUAGUCCACGCCGUAAACGAUGAGUGCUAAGUGUUAGGGGGUUUCCGCCCCUUAGUGCUGCAGCUAACGCAUUAAGCACUCCGCCUGGGGAGUACGACCGCAAGGUUGAAACUCAAAGGAAUUGACGGGGACCCGCACAAGCGGUGGAGCAUGUGGUUUAAUUCGAAGCAACGCGAAGAACCUUACCAAAUCUUGACAUCCUUCGACUGCUCUAGAGAUAGAGUCUUCCCCUUCGGGGGACAAAGUGACAGGUGGUGCAUGGUUGUCGUCAGCUCGUGUCGUGAGAUGUUGGGUUAAGUCCCGCAACGAGCGCAACCCUUAAGCUUAGUUGCCAUCAUUAAGUUGGGCACUCUAAGUUGACUGCCGGUGACAAACCGGAGGAAGGUGGGGAUGACGUCAAAUCAUCAUGCCCCUUAUGAUUUGGGCUACACACGUGCUACAAUGGACAAUACAAAGGGCAGCUAAACCGCGAGGUCAAGCAAAUCCCAUAAAGUUGUUCUCAGUUCGGAUUGUAGUCUGCAACUCGACUACAUGAAGCUGGAAUCGCUAGUAAUCGUAGAUCAGCAUGCUACGGUGAAUACGUUCCCGGGUCU
rnacentral:rRNA from 1 species